GCGGAUGUGGCGGAAUUGGCAGACGCAGCAGACUCAAAAUCUGCCGGUGGCAACACCGUGGGGGUUCGACUCCCUUCAUCCGCA
rnacentral:tRNA from 1 species